GUAGAGGAUACAGUAUAGAAAGUAUAGAUGCAGGUCUUUCUUCAAAUCCCGCAUUAUUUAGAACUGGCGCAACUAGAAAAUUGGCAAAUGUGAAUUGUGCCAGUCGUCAUCAAGUUGUUGAUGUUGUUAUCAAUAUCAACUCUAAAGCGUCCAUGUUCAGAUCAGAAGCUUGGAAGCACCUGUUACUGAAACUAGCUAAGUCCAAGUUUUAAGCUAAUAGUUAUUUAGAAUAACUUUGCUUUCUCUUAAGAAGCUCUCAGUGUGCACGACUCAUUGUGAGAUACAGAUUGAACGUUAACGCAUUUCCGUAUGCCUCGCUUGAUUUUUGCAGCCCAAGAGGAAGUGUGACUUGGUGUAAACUCAUUUAUUCAUAGGAAAAUUCUUUACUUCUACUCGAAAGUUGCGUUGAGCGAGGCCUAGACCAUGGAGUAUGAAGGAAGCUGGCCAAAGGAUGCUCCAUUAUAAGAUUUUUAGGAAAACCUACUGGGACGAUGACAACCUGCAGUCCAAAAUUUUUAAUCAAAAUAACAGGUUCUUUUUGUAGAACAUUGUCUUACAUCCUCAGUAGCAGAAGUACUUUGGCUGAAUUAUUAUCUACCAGGAAAGGAAAAAACAAAAGAUCUGGUUGAGGAUUGAUAUUUACUCUACUAUUUUUUGCUCUUGAAAAAAUUGAUCUCAAUAAAUUAUACUUUGAUAUUAUUAAAGCUUUGUAGAAGAAGGCCAACGCUUUCCAAUGCAUGUGUGAAUGCUUUUACUUUAUCAAAAAUGUUCAAGAGUUUAAGUUACACUGAUAGAGAUCCAGUGAUUUUGUCAUCAAAAAUUAAAGUUAGCCCAUGAUUGUAACUCUCAUGAUGAAGGGAAGCAGCUCAUUAAAGCUUUUCUUCUCAUGUUUA